rnacentral:tRNA from 1 species
AAGCCCCGGCGAGUAUCAUCUCGCUUCUCGAGAUUUGCAAUCUUGUAUGUUCUACACCACGAGGCU